ensembl:snoRNA
CUGGUACAAUGAUGACAGCAUAGUUCAGCUUAUGUCCCAUGACGAACCAAGAGCAUUGUCUUUCGCUCCUAUCCGAAGUAUCCG